rnacentral:rRNA from 1 species
CCCUACGGGGUGCACCAGGCCUUGCAAAGGCUAUAAAAGAAUUGUACUUUAGCAGAAACCUUAUCUAUAGUGAAAAAAUCCUGGAUAUAUCUCAUCACCAACAAACGCAACGGGGUUCUCUAUACCGGGAUGACAGCCCACCUGAAGGAUCGGAUUACAAAUCAUAAAAUCAAAAAGUAUAAAAAUGCUUUUUCUGCCAGAUACAAUUUAUGCAAGCUGGUUUAUUAUGAAGAGUUUGAUGACAUAAGAAAGGCAUAUGCGCGGGAAGCCCAGAUUAAGGCAGGUGCCCGCAUAAAAAAAAUUAAGCUGAUCGAAUCAGUGAACCCCGAAUGGAAGAUCUUUAUGAAACACUUGAAUGAAAAAUUAACGGGAUUUCUUCGCACUCCUGCGGGCGGCGUGGGUCCCUGGCGGGAGGGC